AAUCCCCUGCACGGUGCGUGUUGCUCGCGUCAGAUCGGAUCAAACACCUCGAGCAUUAGGGAGCUCUCGCUGCAUGCGGUGUGUGAGCCUCGACGCGCGUUAAGGAUCCUGGUGGGCACACCUAAAGCUUGUAUGGAGCACCCACCUAGUAGUUUCGAACCCUCACCGGUUCGACCGUAGGCGUGAACAACCGCCCGUGCGGGGGAUCU
rnacentral:other from 1 species